rnacentral:rRNA from 1 species
UGUGUAGGCGGAUUAGUAAGUCAGUGGUGAAAACCUGCAGCUUAACUGUAGAACUGCCAUUGAUACUGUUAGUCUUGAGUACGGUCAAGGUAGGCGGAAUGUGUAAUGUAGCGGUGAAAUGCUUAGAUAUUACACAGAACACCGAUUGCGAAGGCAGCUUACUGGGCCAUUACUGACGCUGAGGCACGAAAGCGUGGGUAGCGAACAGGAUUAGAUACCCUGGUAGUCC